rnacentral:SRP_RNA from 1 species
GUCGGGCGUGGUGGUGAAUGCCUGUAGUCCCAGCUACUUGGGAGGCUGAGGCAGGAGAAUCCCUUGAACCUGGGAGGCCUAGGUUGCAGUGAGCCAAGAUUGCGCCACUGCACUCCAGCCUAGGUGACAGAGCGAGACUCUGUCUCAA